CACGCAGUAAACGAUGAUUACUAGGAGUUUGCGAUAGACAGUAAGCUCCCGAGCGAAAGCGUUAAGUAAUCCACCUGGGGAGUACGCCGGCAACGGUGAAACUCAAAGGAAUUGACGGGGGCCCGCACAAGCGGUGGAGCAUGUGGUUUAAUUCGAAGCAACGCGAAGAACCUUACCAGGUCUUGACAUCCCGAUGACCGCUCUAGAGAUAGAGUUUUCCCUUCGGGGACAUUGGUGACAGGUGG
rnacentral:rRNA from 1 species